AAAGUCGUAACAAGGUCUCCGUAGGUGAACCUGCGGAGGGAUCAUUAACACGUUUCCAAAACGUUUAUCAACCAAAUCAACGUGAACCUAAACCCAACUCCCUUAUCAGUGUGACGAACGAAUAAUCAUCAGGGUGGAGUGUAGCGAAAGCUAUACUAUGACUCGUUCUAGGGGCCCUUCGAGGCUUCAAUCCGCUGAUAAGUGUCUUUGCGACCACCUGGCAGUCUACAUUCGUGUAGCGUUCUGCCGAAUAUUUCACAACAAUUUUUAACCCCUUUCACAACAUACUAAUAACUGAACCAUUUUUUUCUAGCAUGUCCUUGUGAUAUGUUGAAAAAAGAUAUACGUAAUGCUGAACAACUCUUAGCAAUGGAUAUCUUGGUUCUC
rnacentral:misc_RNA from 1 species